AACGAACGCUGGCGGCAUGCCUAACACAUGCAAGUCGAACGCCUGUAGCAAUACAGGAGUGGCAGACGGGUGCAUAACACGUGGGAACCUACCCUUGGGUUCGGAAUAACCGCGGGAAACUGCGGCUAAUACCGGAUACGUCCUGUGGGAGAAAGAUUCAUCGCCCUUGGAGGGGCCCGCGUCGGAUUAGCUAGUUGGUGAGGUAACGGCUCACCAAGGCGACGAUCCGUAGCUGAUCUGAGAGGAUGAUCAGCCACACUGGUACUGAGACACGGUCCAGACUCCUACGGGAGGCAGCAGUGGGGAAUAUUGGACAAUGGCGGCAAGCCUGAUCCAGCAAUAGCGCGCGGUGGAGUG
rnacentral:rRNA from 1 species